UACGUAGGGGGCGAGCGUUGUCCGGAUUUAUUGGGCGUAAAGAGCGUGUAGGCGGCCAGGUAGGUCUGCUGUGAAAACUCGAGGCUCAACCUCGAGACGUCGGCGGAAACCAUCUGGCUAGAGUCCGGAAGAGGAGAGUGGAAUUCCUGGUGUAGCGGUGAAAUGCGCAGAUAUCAGGAAGAACACCGGUGGCGAAGGCGGGUCUCUGGGCCGAUACUGACGCUGAGGAGCGAAAGCGUGGGGAGCGAACAGG
rnacentral:rRNA from 1 species